rnacentral:snRNA from 1 species
AUGCUCACUUCAGCAGUACAUAUACACAAAAAUUGGAACAAUACAGAAAAGAUUUUCAUGGCCCUGCACAGGAUGACACAAAUUCAUGUAGUGUUCUAUGUAUUU